UUAACGACCAAAAUUUCAAAACACCAACUGAGAUUUUAUUUUAUUUUAAGCUCUCGUAAGCGACCACAAUGAUUUUUGGCUUUACAACAUCAGUCAAUACCUGAUAAACAUCAUAUCCAAUGCAUGCUGAAACCACAUAUAAAGCAGAAAUGUUGUAAUGUUUCACAAAAGCUGCCUUCAGUAGGCAACUAUUAAAGAACUCCAUAAUUUCAAUUUUCUAACUUCAAUUUCAACCAUUUCUUUGUCUCCAGAAAAUGUGUAAAUGCAAGGAAUCUCUAGUCCAUUGCCACCUCCACGAAUUAUCCUUUUUCCAUUUACAAUAGCCCUCCACUUGUUUGUUGCACGCUUUAGAAAUCGGCUAACAAAAGACGCCAUGCGAUCGUCGUAGACGCAGAAGAUAUUCUCAUGACGAAAAGCUUAAGUCGUCGAUAUAAACGAACAUAACGAGCUACUUUGCAUAGAAUUAAUUGCUAUUAAAUUAAACAACUCACUCUCAUGAUAAGUCAAAUACCUAGUUUUAAAAUCAAGCAAUAAACCAAAAUAUCACAGUGUUGUUAUUAUCACGAUAACUUUUAGAUUCCAUUUUAAUUAAGUGUUGUCAGGGGUGAACUAGGUCAAAGUACAUGCGGGACGAGCGGGAGGUCAAAAGACGAACGGCUGGUUGCUGGUUCACAGUAGCGUUUAUUGUAAGGACAACCUCCUUUUAGCGAGCAGGGAGGUAUUCAAGCUCGUUCUAGGAGGCAACGAUCAGACGAUUCUUAGAAGGCGAGGCUGAUAGAAGGGAAUCCUUACUAAAGACCUCUUCCUUGACUAGGGAUUGUCUUCACGAAGCCAACAGAACUUACUCGAUAGCCUCCACAGCAAGCUGGUGUUAUUACAAGUGCCUAUGUUUUACAGUGAACUCCUAUUUAUACUGACUAAUUAAUAAUUCGGUACUAACUGGUUUGACUGCACUCUAAGAGAGGUGAUGCAAGAAUUGCAAAUAAAUGUUGAUCUGAGGGAACAGAACAAUUCCACAAUUGAGGAUAACUAUAGAAAGAAUCCGUCGAUGAUAGAAUAACAAUCAAUUGACUAGAAAUAAUGAUUAUAUAAGAUAUUACAGAAUAAUGAGGCUAAGGGAUUCGUUUGGCUUGUUCGAAAUGUCUGUAAAGUAAAUGUUUAUCUAAGGUAGACGCUAAACUGGUUUUGGAAUAAGUAACACUGCGCAUGACCUGUAUGACUAGCAGGUGCAUACUUAGUGUUCAGGGUGAACAGUGAAAAGGUGAUGAAAGUCAAUAUUGAGAUCCGGCUUUGAGCGAAACAGAGCCAGCAUCCGCCAAGAGAAAACUCUACCUUUUGCUUAAGGAAGCUUGAGACCUCAAGACCAAAGAAAUGACUAGUAGAUAGCAAACAAAGGGAAUGCAAGGGGCCAGGCUUAAAGGAUAUAUAGAACUUUGAAGUUAAUUCUAGAUGGAUUAAAUAUAUUAAUCUAAAGAAGACUUUACUAUCAACUUGCCAUUAUAAUCAUGUUUAGUCUGUAAAAGUACAGUAACACACCAAUCAGUUUACAAGUUUUAAUUUUACAGGUUCAAAUGUGAAAAUUAUGCUUUUGGUCUAAUUGCAGCUAAAAACUUCACCAAUCUCAAGCCAAGACAAAUGUCUAAGGUUUUGUCUGGAAGGAUGGUUUAAAAAAAUACCAACUAAAAUAGUGUAUAUUUGCAAAAUCUAAAAGACAAACAAUCCAAUUUUCGGUCACUAUGCUGGAGUAACUCAAAUAACAACUUAGUACAUAUUUUUCAGAAAAUUUGAUCCUUACAUGUAAAAUAUAAUUUUUCUUUAA